GCUAAGUUGGCUAGGCAGGGAUUGAACUUGCAUUUCUCCUUCCUAGGCCUCCCAAGUAUCCGGGGUUACAGGCGUGCACACUGCGCCUGACCAGUGGAUGUGUUUUUAAUGGGUAGAAUGUAAGUGCAGCAGGAGGCUGAGGCAGGGAGCAGGACACAGCAGUGUGAGAAGGUCCCCCUUUUGGGUCAUAGUCUGCGACACACUGACAAACUUCUUGGGGCGGGGCGGGGGAGGCUGGGACUGGUGUUUGGGAGACGGAGUUCUUGGCUCACUUAUUCUCCAUCCUCAGGCAAAUCACCUCGAGUCCUUCAAUGCCAGGACAGGAUUCCCACAAAUUCGCGUUUUGCUGGAAGGGCCUAUGAAAUACUACCAACGCUAGGUGGUGCAAGUGCACAGCGGAUCUGCCCUGGGGCAAUGACGAAACAGCCAGGUGCUAGAGAACAAAUCUGACAGAGAGGGGAAGGCCCUGGGAACAGAUCCAACCUGUGCCAGCCCCCUACCACCACCGCUCCACCCCCACCUGUUCCAGGUAGUGAUGCGGUUCACCUGACAGAGAAUUGGCCUGUUCUGGGAUACCCAGGUCUUGUCAACCUGUCACUGGCCCAAUCUCAGCCUGGGGACCUCUUCUUCAAUCUCAGGCUGUGUUUGGGCUUUGCCUCAGUUUCCCAGUGUGUCUCAGAGCUCCGGUCCAGAAGGGGCAAAAUACCACCAAGAAGCUGUAUACCUGCCCUCUGCUUGGAGGUUGGAGGACCCUGAGCAGCCUCUGCUUCUCUGCUGAUGAGACCCUGGGUGGCCACAGGCUGCUCUGAGCCUUGGUUCAGGCUGCUCGCUGCAUCCUGGACCCCAGGUUCCCUGCCUGCCUUGAGGACCUCACGAUGGAAGGAGCAACUGUCAGUGCUGCUUGGUGACAUGGCUGGGGUGUCUCAGCACAGCUGUCAGGAAAAGAAGCGGCUCAGGCUCCUGCAUGUUAGAGCUCACCACCAAAGCCACCAGGUCCCGAGAGUCCCUUUGAGACAGGUUUCUUGGUCUCCUUCCCCAAGCCCACUGUUACGGUGGAGGAGCUUCUCAUUCUUCUGCUCUGCCUCAGACCCACGGUCCCUGCCGUGGAGAUCCUUCUAG
rnacentral:lncRNA from 1 species